rnacentral:rRNA from 2 species
GGACUACUAGGGUUUCUAAUCCUGUUUGAUCCCCACGCUUUCGUGCCUCAGCGUCAAUGUCUGUUUAGUAAGCUGCCUUCGCAAUUGGUGUUCUAAGUCAUAUCUAAGCAUUUCACCGCUACAUGACUUAUUCCGCCUACCUCAACAGAAUUCAAGACUAAUAGUAUCAAUGGCAGUUUCCAAGUUGAGCUCGGAGAUUUCACCACUGACUUAAAAGCCCGCCUACACACCCUUUAAACCCAGUAAAUCCGGAUAACGCUUGCACCCUCCGUAUUACCGCGGCGGCUGGCAC